rnacentral:rRNA from 1 species
CUAGAUCGGAAGCGAGAAUGUUGACAUGAGUAGCGACAAACAGGGUGAGAGACCCUGUCGCCGAAAGUCCAAGGGUUCCUGCUUAAAGCUAAUCUGAGCAGGGUAAGCCGGCCCCUAAGGCGAGGCCGAAAGGCGUAGUCGAUGGGAACCAGGUUAAUAUUCCUGGGCCAGGAGGAUGUGACGGAUCUCGACGGUAGUUUGCCCUUAUCGGAUUGGGUGAGCUGCUUAGAGGUUCCUGGAGAUAGCCCUCCACAAGACCGUACCCCAAACCGACGCAGGUGGACUGGUAGAGAAUACCAAGGCGCUUGAGAGAACCACAUCAAAGGAACUCGGCAAAAUGCUCCCGUAAGUUCGCGAGAAGGGAGCCCCGUCUGUAGGCAACUAUGGGCGGGGGGCACAAACCAGGGGGUGGCGACUGUUUACUUAAAACACAGGGCUGUGCGAAGCCGUAAGGCGACGUAUACAGUCUGACGCCUGCCCGGUGCUGGAAGGUUAAAAGGAGGGGUGCAAGCUCUGAAUUGAAGCCCCAGUAAACGGCGGCCGUAACUAUAACGGUCCUAAGGUAGCGAAAUUCCUUGUCGGGUAAGUUCCGACCUGCACGAAUGGCGUAACGAUCUCCCCGCUGUCUCUGAUGUGGACUCAGCGAAAUUGAACUGUGUGUCAAGAUGCACACUUCCCGCGGUUAGACGGAAAGACCCCAUGAGCCUUUACUCCAGCUUUGCACUGGCAUCAGGAUUGUGAUGUGCAGGAUAGGUGGUAGGCAUCGAAGCAGAGACGCCAGUCUCUGUGGAGCCUCCCUUGAGAUACCACCCUUCGCACUCUUGAUGUCUAACCGCGGCCCGUUAUCCGGGUCCGGGACCAUGCAUGGUGGGGAGUUUGACUGGGGCGGUCGCCUCCCAAACAGUAACGGAGGCGCGCGAAGGUUGGCUCAGAGCGGUCGGAAAUCGCUCGUUGAGUGCAAUGGCAGAAGCCAGCCUGACUGCAAGACUGACAAGUCGAGCAGAGACGAAAGUCGGCCAUAGUGAUCCGGUGGUCCCAAGUGGGAGGGCCAUCGCUCAACGGAUAAAAGGUACUCUGGGGAUAACAGGCUGAUGAUGCCCAAGAGUCCAUAUCGACGGCAUCGUUUGGCACCUCGAUGUCGGCUCAUCUCAUCCUGGGGCUGGAGCAGGUCCCAAGGGUAUGGCUGUUCGCCAUUUAAAGAGGUACGUGAGCUGGGUUUAGAACGUUGUGAGACAGUUCGGUCCCUAUCUGCCGUGGGUGUAGGAGACUUGAGAAGAGUUGCCCCUAGUACGAGAGGACCGGGGUGAACGUUCCACUGGUGGACCAGUUGUCGUGCCAACGGCAGUGCUGGGUUGCUAUGAACGGACAGGAUAACCGCUGAAGGCAUCUAAGCGGGAGGCCCCCUUCAAAACAAGGUCUCCCUUGAGAGCCGUGGAAGACCACCACGUCGAUAGGCCAGAGGUGUAAGUGCAGCAAUGCAUUCAGCUGACUGGUACUAAUUGCUCGAU